CUUAGAAGUUCCUGUAUAUGAUAGUCAGCCUCAUAACAAUAAAGAAACAAGUCGGCAAAAAAAGGGUCACAAUUGGUUCCCAUUGGAAUGCCGACAGUCUGUUGAAAAACACGUCCUCCAAACGUAACAAAUAUGUAGUCAAUCAAGAAAUCUAGUAUCUUGAUAAUGUCAGUUUCAGAGAAUUUUUUGUUUGAUUCUUUACCAAGUAGGAUUUAUCCCUCCCCAAGACAAGAUACUUGUCACCUACGUUCGCCAUCCUUUUUUUUAUGAAACAAAGUAAUACCAACUCUUUCAAUUUGCCUUUUAGUUUGGAAUGGAUAAUACUUGUGUGUAAAGUGUUGAAAAGUCAAACGUUUUAAUACCAUUACAAGAUGAGAGAGUCUUAGAUUGUAUGUCCUCUAAAAGAUCUUUUGAAUUUGUUAGUAUCUUCAUCUGAUUCAGGCCACCUCUAGUUUCAUGUUCUUUAUAAAAAGAGAACUUGUAUACAAGUUUGACACUGAUGUAUAAUCAUUAUCGUACUUACACCAAUCGAUUGUACUGGUCCAAGGGCACAGUUAUCGUCCUUUGGUUUUCGUUGUGUUACACUUUCCCAAUGUAUUUCUUGAUAUUUAAUGCAUGAAAUAUUAAGUAAGGGGAUGAAAUAACAUGUUUAAAAAAAUUGUUGAAUCAUUAUGUUAAGUAGUGAUUUGGUCCAGUUAAAAAAGGUAAAAUAUUAGUACGUCUGAAGCUGUCAAACUGAAUUUUAGACACCCUUAACACAGAAUUGUCAAUAUUUUGAGUUAGAGCUGGUAGAAGUGUCUAUAAUUUUGAAGUUAUUUGUCCCAAUAGUAGUACACUACACUGUAAAAAUCUUUUUGAGAUAGAGCAGGUGCGAUUUUUUAAAUUUGAAUUUUUUGUCUAAAAGAAAUGCACUACGAAAUAACUGUGUUCUCGGGCCUAAUGCUACAGACUUUGUUACAUUCUUGCGAUAGCAUAAUUUUUUUUAGAAUGAGAUUAAAAAUAUCACAUGUGCAAAUCGGCAUCUCUAAUUUUGAAAAUUAAUGGGCGUCGAAUUUAAACUGUCAUGUAAAUAUAUUUAAGUAAAAUGAUGUUUCUUUUUUUUU
rnacentral:lncRNA from 1 species